GCUUACGGCAAUACUACCUCGAACACACCCAAUCUCAUGUGACCUUGGAAGCUAAGCAGGGUCAGACCUAGUCAGUACUUGGAUGGGAGAAAUGGACACCAUACCGU
rnacentral:rRNA from 1 species